GUCUGGUUAAUUCCGAUAACGAACGAGACUCAAACUUUUUUAAAUAGAUGCCUGCAGGAUUAUGGCGCUGAAAUCAUGUGUAUGUGGAUCUCUGUGGUUCGCUAUGGAGUUUCAUUUUAUAUAUGGUGGAGUCAUACCUGUCUGGUUUGUCUUAAGAGGACACUUUGCUUCUUAAAUGGACAAAAUGCGUCUAGCAUUAACGAGAUUGAGCAAUAACAGGUCUGUGAUGCCCUUAGAUGUCCUGGGCUGCACGCGCGCUACAAUGAAGGUAUCAAUGUGUUUUAUCCUUGACCGAGAGGUAUGGGUAAACAUUGAACCACCUUCGUGGUUGGGAUUGUG
rnacentral:rRNA from 1 species